rnacentral:rRNA from 1 species
UACGUAGGGGGCAAGCGUUGUCCGGAUUUAUUGGGCGUAAAGAGCGUGUAGGCGGCUAGAUAGGUCCGUUGUGAAAACUCGAGGCUCAACCUCGAGACGCCGGUGGAAACCAUCUAGCUAGAGUCCGGAAGAGGAGAGUGGAAUCCGGGUGUGAGUGGUGAAAUGCGUAGAGAUCCGGAGGAACCCACGAGGCGAAGGCGGCAGCCUGGUUGGCUCCUGACGCUCGGACACGACAGGCAUGGGGAGCGAACGGG